GAUGAACGCUGGCGGCGUGCCUAAUACAUGCAAGUCGAGCGAACGGACGAGAAGCUUGCUUCUCUGAUGUUAGCGGCGGACGGGUGAGUAACACGUGGAUAACCUACCUAUAAGACUGGGAUAACUUCGGGAAACCGGAGCUAAUACCGGAUAAUAUUUUGAACCGCAUGGUUCAAAAGUGAAAGACGGUCUUGCUGUCACUUAUAGAUGGAUCCGCGCUGCAUUAGCUAGUUGGUAAGGUAACGGCUUACCAAGGCAACGAUGCAUAGCCGACCUGAGAGGGUGAUCGGCCACACUGGAACUGAGACACGGUCCAGACUCCUACGGGAGGCAGCAGUAGGGAAUCUUCCGCAAUGGGCGAAAGCCUGACGGAGCAACGCCGCGUGAGUGAUGAAGGUCUUCGGAUCGUAAAACUCUGUUAUUAGGGAAGAACAUAUGUGUAAGUAACUGUGCACAUCUUGACGGUACCUAAUCAGAAAGCCACGGCUAACUACGUGCCAGCAGCCGCGGUAAUACGUAGGUGGCAAGCGUUAUCCGGAAUUAUUGGGCGUAAAGCGCGCGUAGGCGGUUUUUUAGUCUGAUGUGAAAGCCCACGGCUCAACCGUGGAGGGUCAUUGGAAACUGGAAAACUUGAGUGCAGAAGAGGAAAGUGGAAUUCCAUGUGUAGCGGUGAAAUGCGCAGAGAUAUGGAGGAGCACCAGUGGCGAAGGCGACUUUCUGGUCUGUAACUGACGCUGAUGUGCGAAAGCGUGGGGAUCAAACAGGAUUAGAUACCCUGGUAGUCCACGCCGUAAACGAUGAGUGCUAAGUGUUAGGGGGUUUCCGCCCCUUAGUGCUGCAGCUAACGCAUUAAGCACUCCGCCUGGGGAGUACGACCGCAAGGUUGAAACUCAAAGGAAUUGACGGGGACCCGCACAAGCGGUGGAGCAUGUGGUUUAAUUCGAAGCAACGCGAAGAACCUUACCAAAUCUUGACAUCCUUUGACAACUCUAGAGAUAGAGCUUUCCCCUUCGGGGGACAAAGUGACAGGUGGUGCAUGGUUGUCGUCAGCUCGUGUCGUGAGAUGUUGGGUUAAGUCCCGCAACGAGCGCAACCCUUAAGCUUAGUUGCCAUCAUUAAGUUGGGCACUCUAAGUUGACUGCCGGUGACAAACCGGAGGAAGGUGGGGAUGACGUCAAAUCAUCAUGCCCCUUAUGAUUUGGGCUACACACGUGCUACAAUGGACAAUACAAAGGGCAGCGAAACCGUGAGGUCAAGCAAAUCCCAUAAAGUUGUUCUCAGUUCGGAUUGUAGUCUGCAACUCGACUACAUGAAGCUGGAAUCGCUAGUAAUCGUAGAUCAGCAUGCUACGGUGAAUACGUUCCCGGGUCU
rnacentral:rRNA from 1 species